rnacentral:rRNA from 1 species
GAUGAACGCUAGCGGCAGGCCUAACACAUGCAAGUCGAGGGAGAAGCCCUUUCGGGGGCAGAAACCGGCGCACGGGUGCGUAACGCGUAUGCAACCUACCUUUCACAGGGGGAUAGCCCGAAGAAAUUUGGAUUAAUACCCCAUAAUAUUAUUGGAUGGCAUCAUUUGAUAAUUAAAACUGCGGUGGUGAAUGAUGGGCAUGCGUCCUAUUAGCUAGUUGGAGUGGUAACGGCACCCCAAGGCUACGAUAGGUAGGGGUCCUGAGAGGGAGAUCCCCCACACUGGUACUGAGACAGGGACCAGACUCCUACGGGAGGCAGCAGUGAGGAAUAUGGGUCAAGGGUCGGAAGACUGAACCAGCCAUGCCGCGUGCAGGAAGAAUGCCUUAUGGGUUGUAAACUGCUUUUAUAUGGGAAAAAUAAGGCGUACGUGUACGUUGAUGACGGUACCAUAUGAAUAAGCAUCGGCUAACUCCGUG